GUCCUCUACACAAGAAUUUGUCACAUCUCAUAUUUAGUACGGAAAAUAUACGAGCUCUAUAAUGCGUAUUACUGCAUUACAUUCAAGUACAACAAACAAAAGAAUACAGGGACACAUACUAGAUCAUGACUAGGUUACAAGAUCUCAAUAUAUUAUUGUUUCCAAGGAACAAAAGAAUACAGGCACACAUACUAGAUCAUGACUAGGUUACAAGAUCUCAAUAAAUUAUUGUUUCCAAGAGUGGAAACAAGGUCCAGAGACUUCAGGGUAUAGAAGAAACUAAAGGAUGUAACAAAACUGAAACUUCUUCAUACAUAAAACAGUCUGACCAUAUCAUCUGA
rnacentral:lncRNA from 1 species